AAUUUAUAUUUAUUAUAUUAAUUAUUCUUACUAUUUAUUUAGUAUUCUAAAAAUUUAAUAUUAAUUUUUCUGUUAAGUUUAAUAUGUAUAUUAGUAUAAUAAUUUUUAGUUCCUUUUGUAUCAGGAUAAAUUUAAUAAUUUUUGUAUUAUUGUUUCCCGAAAAAAAUGAUAUUUAUUAUAUUUUUUUUAUAUUGUUGAAUAAAUAUAUUUAAAUUUAUAAUAGUAGUUAAAUGUUUUCGUUCUUUUUUAUAUCUGGUUAUUUAGGAUUUCAAUUUAAUUGAUGAUUAAUUUUUUAAUUAAAUUAUUUUAAUAUUAAUCUUAUGUAAUUUGGGAUAAUCUAUUUUAUUAUUUAAAAUUUUCUUUAUUAAAUUUUUAUUUAUUUUUAAAUCUUUUAUUAAGUUCUUAAUAGAUUAAAAUUAUUAAUUUUAAUUUUUUUUAUAUUUAUUUUAUUACUAAAUUAAUUAAUAAAAUUUAUAUUUUUAUAUAAUAAUGAUUUAAUUAAUAUAAUUUUAAAAUUAAUUUGAAAGAAUUAGACAAAUUAAAUCUUCAGCUGUUUAUCAAAAACAUUUCUUUUAGUAAUUUAUUAAAGGUAAAUUCUGCUCUAUGAUUGUAUUUAAUUAAAUAGCUGCAGUAUUUUGACUGUACAAAGGUAGCAUAAUAAUUAGUCAUUUAAUUGUUGACUUGUAUGAAUGAAUAAAUGAAAGAUUAAUUUUUUUAAAUUUAUUAUUAUAAUUUUAUUUUUAAGUUAAAAAGCUUAAUUUUUUUUUUGGGACGAUAAGACCCUAAAGAACUUUAUUAUAUUUUAUUUUUAAUAUUUUUAUUAUAUGUUUGUAUUUAUUUUAUUUUUUUAUUGGGGUGAUAUGUAAAAUUUAACUUUACUUUUUUUUUUCAUUAAUUUAUGAUUAUUUAGAUCCAUUAUUUAGACUAAAAGAUUUAGUUACCUUAGGGAUAACAGCGUAAUUUUAAUGGAAAGUUCAUAUUUAUAUUAAAGUUUGCGACCUCGAUGUUGAAUUAAGAUUAUUUUGAGGGGUAGUUUUUUCAAUAUUAAGUCUGUUCGACUUUUAAAUUCUUACAUGAUUUGAGUUCAAACCGGUGUGAGCCAGGUUGGUUUCUAUCUAAAAAAUUUUUAUUUUAAUUAGUACGAAAGGACCAUUAAAUGUCAAUAUUUAUUGUUAAUAUAUUUGAAUUAUUAU
rnacentral:rRNA from 1 species